CCUACGGGUGGCAGCAGUGGGGAAUAUUGCACAAUGGGGGAAACCCUGAUGCAGCGACGCCGCGUGGGUGAAGAAGGUUUUCGGAAUGUAAAGCCCUAUCAGCAGGGAAGAAAAUGACGGUAUCUGACUAAGAAGCACCGGCUAACUACGUGCCAGCAGCCGCGGUAAUACGUAGGGGGCAAGCGUUAUCCGGAUUCACUGGGUGUAAAGGGGGCGUAGACGGCAGUGCAAGUCAGGAGUGAAAGCCGGGGGCUUAACCCCCGGACUGCACUUGAAACUGUACGGCUGGAGUACAGGAGAGGUAGGUGGAAUUCCUGGUGUAGCGGUAAAAUGCGUAGAUAUUAAGAGGAACACCCAUGGCGAAGGCGACCUGCUAGACUAUAACUGACGUUGAGGCUCGAAAGCGUGGGGAGCAAACAGGAUUAGAUACCCCAGUAGUC
rnacentral:rRNA from 1 species